AGAUUGAACGCUGGCGGUAUGCUUAACACAUGCAAGUCGAACGGCAGCACAGGGUAGCUUGCUAUCCGGGUGGCGAGUGGCGGACGGGUGAGUAACGCGUAGGAAUCUACCUUUUCGUGGGGGAUAACCCGGGGAAACUCGGGCUAAUACCGCAUACGCCCUACGGGGGAAAGCGGGGGACCUUCGGGCCUCGCGCGGAACGAUGAGCCUGCGUCCUAUCAGGUAGUUGGUGAGGUAAUGGCUCACCAAGCCGACGACGGGUAGCUGGUCUGAGAGGACGACCAGCCACACUGGGACUGAGACACGGCCCAGACUCCUACGGGAGCAGCAGUGGGAAUAUGGACAAGUGGGGAAACCUGAUCCAGCAAUACCGCGUGUGUAGAAGAAGGCCGUUCGGUUGUAAGCUACUUUAGUACGAGGAAAGAAAGG
rnacentral:rRNA from 1 species